UCUGUUAUAGAAUUUUUUCUUACUAAGCUCGUGAAUCUCAUCCCAAUUCACCUCAUUUCAUAUCAGAGAAGACAAAAAACAAAUCCAAGAUUAAAAAAAGAUUGUGAAAAAAAUCUUAUUAGUUUCUACUUUAGAUUUGUAAUUAAUUUAGAUGUCUCAUAUAUCUACAAAUAAAUUAUUAUUUCAUUACAUGGGAUGCAUAUUAAUGUGUAGUUCCGCUGCAUAUGUAAUACUUAUUAGUUUCGUUCGUUGGAAAUGGUGUGCAAGCGAAAUUAUGUCUUCUUGUAGGUUAUAUAUUCUUACUAAAUCUCCUUAUACGGUUUGAGCUAUCGACGGAGACAACAUCUUCAUGAUCUAGGAGAGGAUGAUUGUGUUACAACUCCUCCAGGCCUCUUACAAAGGAUCAUUCUUAUAUAGAACAUGGAUAGUUCUAUCAAUAAACUUGAGCUUGUUUUUCGAGAUUAGUGUCAUCUUCAUUGAUCUCGACCACAAAUAAAUUUUUUUUCCUAUUAAUAGCUCUAAUGUGAGCUGUAACGAUGAGUUUUUAUUCGAGUAG
rnacentral:lncRNA from 1 species